ensembl:lncRNA
GUUGUUAAACUGCAGUCUAUAAGCAGUCUCCAAGACCAGAUACUAUUCUUCAUGGAGGACACCACAUAAGGUAGUUCUCAGCAAAGCCCCUUGGGCAUUUUGGAAAGGAAAAAAAAAAAAAAAAAACACUUUCUUUACCAAUCUCCACAAAAGAGGUGGAUCACUUGCUCUGCAUGAGAAUGUAGAAAGGGUAACUGCAGGGGAUGAGGUUUUACUGUUUGUCUUCUGUAGAAUAUCGGCUCCAAAGCACAGAUGAACAGCAAUUUACUUGGUCUGCUCUCUCCUGGUGCCUUCUAAAGAUAGAUGUCUGCACCCAGACCUGAGCUAACCAGCUACCCACAGUAAGCCGACAGCACUGUCCUUCCACCGAGCUGUUAACGCAGCGUCCUCGGGAACCGGAGGGCAAUCUCCUCCCUCGGACGGGCUGCUGCUGCGCUUUUCCACUCCCGUGCGGCAACAGGAGCCCCCUGAAGAAGAUGUGGCUGCUUGGAGGCCCCAUCCUAACCGGCGGGCAAGGGGAAUGAACGCAGCUUUGCGCAGAGCCCCUCUUCUUGCCCCUCCACUGCGUGGCGCAGGGGGCCGAGGGGAAAAGAGGACACAGAAGAGGGGGGAGAGGAGGGAACGAUGGUAAUGCGCUACUCCUGCAAAAAGAAGCAGCCACGGUCUUGUCACAGCCCCCCGAGACCGUUACAUAACGGUAGCAAGGAGGACAGCGCUGCGCAACCCUCCUCAGUGGGGAGAGAACUCCAGUCCCACCGAGGCACCGCAGCUGAAACAACGACGCCAACGCGCCCACUCCCUCCCCGAAGGUCUACAUUAACCGAAUGCAAAUUAAUUAGCCAGCGCGCCGAUAAGGGGGCAGAGGACAAGAAACACCAGUGAAGCAUGACGGUUCAAAAAAAGAAAAAGAAAAUAAAAGAGGGACUUAGGAAGUUGACCCUGCCUCAGUCGCUCCGCAAGAAGCGCCCACUUACCACCGGCUCACCGAGGGAGCGACAGCUCCUGCCAGCUCAACCUGCCUCUCGCCUAGACUCUGACGCUAUCAACAGCCAACCGCAAGCUGGCGCGGCGGCUCAGCUAGGCUCCUGCCCUCGCGGCUGCGGCAUUGGCGAGCGCCCGGCACCGCCUACUUGCCCUCCUCUGCCGCUCGUCCCCAUAGGCCAGACGGGCUGUCCAGCUGGCGACCGCUCCCGCCUCCCACGGAGCGUGAGGCAUAAGCAGAAAAAGUAAAGCCAAGAAGACAUAAGAGACAAAUGAUUCUUAAGAGCCAUUUCCAGACCACUAACUACUCAUGUCAAAGCAAGAAUAACCUGAGAUUGCUUGAUCACAAACCUGGAAUAUUGGGCCAAUAUGCGUUAUGGAGCCCUGAACAGAGGAGCCAUGGUAAGGUUGCUGAAAGCUGUCAUAAUCUCCUUUGUAAGAUAGCUAAUUUAGAAGAAGGCUAAUUUAUUAAAGAAAAUUAUUUAUCUUAAUGCAAAUGCAUUAACACAGUGAAAAAUUUAGAACACUUUACACUAAAGAUAUUUUUAAAAAUCCAAGUAUCUUAUCUAGCUUAUCUCAAAAAGAACUAUUAAACGUAUAUUUCUCAGCUUUAUAAAAAUUGCAUGCUUUGUAAUUCAAGAUUUCAAGUACUGUGCAUGUCACUACCCUGAGUGAUUGUAACAAGCUAGUGGAUUUACAGCCCAGACUAACAGCAGUAAAAUUUCUUCAUGUAUUUAAUGUCCUUUGAGCUGUUCCGGUCCUCACUGUUGGCAGAAAAACAAAGAUCAGUUUGUAGAAUGCAGCAGACAUCUAUCUUAGAACAGAGCCAACAGCUAGACUGAUGAAGUCAUGAGAGAAUUGAUUCAGAUCAUAAGCAAACAAGGUUUACUGUUGAAAACAUGUGACCAUAAUUACUAGUAAAAGUCCAAAGAUCAUGCUGGUGUGUGUUACCUUCUUUCUUUUUGUUGUAUUUGCUGUUUUACGUUAUUCUUGUUUCACAUACAGAGCAAAAAACUUCUUCCUUCCUUCCUUCCUUCCUUCCUU